rnacentral:rRNA from 1 species
UACGGAGGGGGCGAGCGUUAUUCGGAAUUAUUGGGCGUAAAGGGCGCGUAGGCGGCUGUACAAGUCAAAGGUGAAAUCCCUCGGCUCAACUGAGGAACUGCCUUUGAAACUGUACGGCUUGAGGCCGGGAGGGGGUAGCGGAAUUCCCAGUGUAGCGGUGAAAUGCGUAGAUACUGGGAGGAACACCAGUGGCGAAGGCGGCUACCUGGACCGGUUCUGACGCUGAGGCACGAAAGCGUGGGGAGCAAACAGG